CUGUCUUAAUUAAAGACAAAGGGCUCUACAGCCUGCAUGUAAAUUAGAGAUCUAUUAAAGUGCUGUCUCUCACUUUUAUGCUGGGUCAGAAUGAUGGCAGGAGAUCCUUAGAAAAAGAUUUACAGCUAUCCAUCACGCCUUAAUGCUCUAGAUCAGAGACGGGAAGGGUGACCUUAUUAACGAGGAACCAGUCAAGAUUUGACAGGUCCAGCUAAAGUGAAGCUUAGCCACAGCACUCUGGGAAGAGAACUGAAGCAGUGCUGAAAUAUGUUACAGGUAUGUACCCGAUGACUCAAGUAAUCUUCAGUAAUCGCUGCCUCAACUGAUUCACAGCAGUGAGACAACCUUUAGUCCUCUUCGGGAAACAG